UUUAUUUUAUUUAUUUAUUUUUAUGUAGUACUGAGGAUUGAACCCAGUGCCUCACACGCUUGCUAGGCAAGUGCUCCACCACUGAGUUACAGCCCCAGCCCCGGUUUACCAUCUUGAUACCACAAGGCAAUGAGCCUAACUUAGAAGAAAGCAGAGCUACCCCAAAGAAAGAAAACCAUGAUAUAAUCUGAGCACUGGAAUAAAUUCCCCUUUUUGUGGAAGUCUGUUUGAGUUUGUUUUCAGCUACUUGGAAUUGAAAGUGUUCUAACUAAUGCAUAAAAUUCUUGGUAUUUAUUCUUCUCAAUUAUUUGCAGUUCAAUAGUCCUCAGACUGAAAGAAAAGUAAGAAGAAGUAAAACAAAUAUCUGUGGAUUCCUCACCUAAAUUCACCAGUUGUUCACAAUAGCACAUUAGCUUAUGUCUGUCCUUCAGCACCAACAAUACUAUCUCACUGAGGAAUGAAAUCAAUUCAAUACUGUCUAAUAGGAAGCUCGUAUUUAAAUUUUUCUCAACUAUCUUCAAACUGUCUUUUUUAUUUCAUUUCAUUUUAUUCACUCUGGAGUUGUCAAUCAAGUUUCAUGUGUUGCAUUUGGUUUUUGUCUCUUUUAAUGUGGAUGGAUAGCCUUGAUUUUUGUUGUUUUUUCUUUAAUGACACCGACUUCCAUUUUACUUUUGAGAACUCAGGCCAGUUGACACAUAGAAUGUACCACAUCCUGGAUUUGUCUCUUAACUCAGGAUUAGACUCAUAUUUUUAGCACAAAUUCUUCCCAGGUAGCAUGUUAUAUACACUUCUGUACUUUGCUUUUUUUUUUUUCUCUUAACACAACACUGGAACUAACUUUAUUCAACCACUAAUAAUCUUCCCAAGUCAUUUUAAUGCUUGCAUAGCAUUCCAUCAUAUGGACUAAUUUAAUUAUUAAAGUUAAUAAUAAUUAUUAGUAAUAAUUAUUAUGCAGUUAGUGUAAUUAUCAAAUUAAUUAAAUAAAAUUUAAAAUCAUUUAUACUUAUUACAUAAUACUAAAUUAUGUUCCAUAACUUAUUCAGCUGGCUUCUUAAGGAUAGACAUUAAGGUUAUUUCCUAAUUUUUUCUAUGACAAAGUUGUCUAAGAGAAAAAUCACAUAUAGAUAUUAUUUCCUACGUUUGGAGGUCACAUUCAGGAUAGAUUCUUUAUGUUAAAGUGGCAGUGCUGGGUGGAGAGGUAAAUGCAUAUGUAGUUCUGUUAGGUCUCACAAGGCUCCCUUCCAUAGGAGUUUGGGAAAAUGUUUGACAUGAUAUUCUACCUUGUCUUGUAGAAAUGUUACUCUUGUUUUCCAUUCCAUACACAUUUCUUAAUAUCCGUAGGCAGAGUCUGUUGGGCAUCUAUCUUUUUUGGCUUCACGGCAUAUAAUAGUGUGCUGUUGUUCUUAGAAGAUGCUCCCUAGGUGCUGAAGGAGUGAGUCAAAGAAUGAAUCAGUGAACGAAUUAUUUUUCCCCAUGAUAUCAACAUUCUCACUCACUUCACAGGAAACUGAGACCCAAGAACAGUCAGAACUGUGUUUCAAGGCCACUCCACAAGAAGAAUCCUAGAGAAUGGAGUGGACUGAUAAAUAUGCAGACAAGAAAAGCUCCUUUGAGAUGAGUUGCUGACACUUUCAUCUGAAGGAAGAAGCUUGACUGAUUGGAGAGGUUUAGACUUCAACCCACAGAUCAAAGCUUCCCAAAGUGGUUUCCUUUGAUCACUCGUCCUAGAGAUCAUUCAAAAAAGAAGUUUCAUAAUAAAACUAGUUUGGGAAGAC